rnacentral:rRNA from 1 species
GAUGAGCAUGCGUCCCAUUAGCUUGUUGGUAAGGUAACGGCUUACCAAGGCAACGAUGGGUAGGGGUCCUGAGAGGGAGAUCCCCCACACUGGUACUGAGACACGGACCAGACUCCUACGGGAGGCAGCAGUGAGGAAUAUUGGUCAAUGGGCGCAAGCCUGAACCAGCCAUGCCGCGUGCAGGAUGACGGUCCUAUGGAUUGUAAACUGCUUUUGUACAGGAAGAAACAGUUCUACGUGUAGAACCUUGACGGUACUGUAAGAAUAAGGAUCGGCUAACUCCGUGCCAGCAGCCGCGGUAAUACGGAGGAUCCAAGCGUUAUCCGGAAUCAUUGGGUUUAAAGGGUCCGUAGGCGGUUUUGUAAGUCAGUGGUGAAAGCCCAUCGCUCAACGGUGGAACGGCCAUUGAUACUGCAAGACUUGAAUUAUUAGGAAGUAACUAGAAUAUGUAGUGUAGCGGUGAAAUGCUUAGAGAUUACAUGGAAUACCAAUUGCGAAGGCAGGUUACUACUAAUAUAUUGACGCUGAUG